rnacentral:lncRNA from 1 species
UCCACUGGAAAAACAACCUCAUCAGGGAAUUUCUGCAUAUGGAAGAGAAGCUCCAAUGUCAAUGCAUUCAUCAUCCAACAACACAGCCGCACCGUCUCUGAUUACUCAGGUAUGUUCUGUUACUCUAAGCACACUGAGUCAGUAUUUAAAGAGAAAUGGGUGGGAUUUUGUGUUAAUGCACUUUGUUAAUCUUUUAUUGUUGUUUUACACGAGGAGACUAGUUCAUUAGUUUUGAAAUUAGCUACAGCUUCAACUCUACAUGUCCAUCUUUCUCACCAUUCUGUUGAAAGAAACCAAAAGGCUGGCAGUCAUUCAAUAAAAGACAGGUGGGAAUCACCAAAAAAGGGAAAAUUGCUACACACCCUAUGUGCACUUCAGUAAUAGGUAUCAAAUUGUAUUGGGUGAUAACUUGAUGCAAUCUGGAUGCACUAUAGCGCAGGUUGUCUAGCGAAGCAAGAAAUGCAUAAACGGUAGGGUAGCUUUUGUAGAAUUUUAUUUCCAGGCAGUUCUGUUAACCAUGGGUAGUCGGGCAACUCCUAGCUUUACUUGAGAAGUACUCCCUGCCGGGUUUUUUGGAGUUAGAGAAUCAACACAACUAAUAUUCUGUGCGACUUUGGACAUACAUUUCUUAACUUUGUAAAAAGAAAAUUUGCUUGGUUGGAGAUUUUGUUUAUGUAAGCACAAUAUUCUAUAGUUAAAAUAUUUUUAUUUUUUUUGAGAAAAUUGUAGUUGAAGAAAAUUUUGACUUCCGAAAUACUCCCUCCGGUCCAAAAUAAGUAAUUUUUUGGAUGUUUUCACACAGAUUAAGAAAUUCACCUUUUAGCAUUAAUUAGCAAUGGAAUUGACCAUAUUAACCUUUACUAUCUCAUAUAUAUACUCCUAACACAUAUUCCAACAUUAUUUACUACAAGGACAAUGUAGGAAAAAAAUAAUUAAUUCACUCUUGACAUUUGAAAAAAUCACAUAUUUUGGACCAUUCCUUACACAUAUUCCAACACUAUUUACUCCAAGGACAAUGUAGGGAAAAAAUAAUUAAUUCAUUGUUGAAAUUUGGAAAAAUCACUUAUUUUGGACCAUAAAAAAAGGCCAAAAAAUCACUCUUAGCUGAGAAUUAAGGAUCGCCCUUCAGAAAUAUUUUAGGUUGCAAAAAUAUUGGCAAUUUAUAUGCAAGACAUCCUAAGUAAACCUAAUAUUAUGGUCAUGAUGAAGUGCUAGUAAACAAAUGAGAAAAAGAAAGAUAUUCAUGUGCGAGUUUUUGUUUGUUCUGAGGGCAUAGUUUUGCAGAUUACACAGCAUAUGCAGAUCCCAUUGUCCUAUGCUGAUGCUGUGAUUGGAACAAAUGGUGCGAGCAUAAGCUACAUUCGGCGGGUUAGUGGUGCUACUGUUACAAUACAGGAAACAAGGGGAGUUCCUGGGGAGAUGACUGUUGAGAUCAGUGGAACUGCUUCUCAAGUCCAAACAGCACAACAAUUGGUACAGGUAACAUUCUUGCUUCACUUGUCAUAAGAUUUAAACUCUUUUUUUCCUCUGGUACAUUCUUGCUUCACUUGUCAUAGGAUUUAAACUCUUUUUUCCCUCUGGUAUGUGCAUAUGCAUAUGAGUUUCUGUUGAGGCGGCGCAAAAUGCCAGUCUUUUAUUUUUCCAUUUGACUUUUGGUUUAGCCAAUAUCCGUGCUUCUGAUAUCCUAUCUUGAAAUGUAUUUGUUUAUUCUUCAUUUGUGUGUCGUAGAAUUUCAUGGCAGAUGCAGGGGCGCCUCAGGCACAGACAGCUCCACCAGCUGACCAAGGCUACAACUCCUAUGGAGCUCCUCCUACUUCUAUGUAUUCAUCUGCCCCUACAAAUCCAGGCAUUCCAGGUCAAUCAGGGAGCUAUGGUUCAGUGUAUGGUACAAACUAUGGCUAUUGAGCUGGACCCUUAUGCAUUUCAUUUGGUGAACAAAACUAAUAAUCCUUUCAUCAGAGUGCUUUGUACUGUUGUACCUUCAUUUCGGCCUAGUGACAUGGAACUCCUAUAGGUAGAGAGUAUUGUAUGCAUUGGGCUCGUCACAACGAUGUGUCUACCAAAUGUCUAUUUCAUUUUUCUCCUGAUUUGUCUCACCUUCCUACAUUUUCCAAGACUAAUAUGAUCUUUAACACUGAAUAUUUUCAUAUUUGCUCGGUUAGCUGCCACAGCGCUCAAGGAUUUAAAAAAUUAUGACUCUACAUGGUGUUCGAGGAUGUUUGGCGGGUUCUCUGUUGCAACUAGUAUUGCAGCUGCCUAAACACAAAUAGUUGGGAUUGUAUAACAGUCGUCCUUUCAGAAGUACUUCUCCCUUGGGGCAUUGGGCUGGUCACAGACGAGAAAGAAUAAGUAAUGAGGUUGAGAGUAAAACUAAUGAAACAUGCUCUGCUUUAUGGACUAUUAUUUUUUUUUUCUUUAAAAGCAGCUCCAUAUCGUAGAUGAAACAACAAAGAAAGUUCUUUUACAUUAGUAUCAUAUUAUGAUCUGAUGGAACAAAAUGGCUAUAGUUCUCCAGCGAUUUAAGGCUACAUCGGAUGUAAUACAAUAACAUCUCAUAAACUUUCAAUUGAACCCAACAGUAUAUAGCGUUUGGUAUUAAUGUUUUUUUGUGGAUAAUAACUGUAAAAUAUUACAAUUAACAACCAAAUAAUACACCUAAAAUCUACCUCUUAACUUUUCCUAAUUUACAGAAAACAUGUCGGGUUGAUUUUUCGAAAACAAAUACCUUUUCUUUUACGCCGUUCUUGUUGAAUAUUUUCAAAUACUCAAAUCCAUACUCUGCUAGUGACCUAUACCAAGUCACAAGACAAAUCCAAGGUUUUAGAGUUCAAAUCUCUGUUCUCUCGGGUUUUUUUGCCUUCUUUUUUUGGAAGUAGAGUUUGACACUUAUCUCCCCCGAAGAGAGAAUAAUAUCAAGGAAGCGCAUGUCUACUUGGCCCAUUAUAUUCUACUUUUGCUGAUCCCACAGCUCUCAUACUGUUUUUAGAUGGUGGCCAUAUGGAAUAAUGAAUUCACUCUGCUUGCUAAUUUGGCUGGACCAAGCCCUUAGACAGAGAUAGCAAAAGGCAAUACCCUCCAUGGUCAUAUUCUUCAUUCAAGUUGACCCCAUUGCAUCAACAUAAGCGCGCACACACAAUACAUAAAAAAUAAGUAUUACGAUAAAGGUAAAUUUGAUAAUAAACAAGCUCGUCUUUGCCAACCUAUAACGCAACAGCACCUGUCUUACUUUCUGCACAAUAUCAAAUUUGUCGCAUCUUCACAUUUUAUUCUAUUCAUAACCUGAAUAAAGCAUCACGAAACAGGAGAUGACCAGUUCCCAACCUAGGACUCUUGUUUGGAGCAUACUUUCAUAUUCUGUGAAGACAAAGGGUACAGAAAGAAAGCCAACAAAAGAAAACCUACAUUCAAGUGAUGCUCAAAAUUUGAGUUUAUUGGGCCGUAAUGUAUGACAAAUCAAACCAACAGAAAACCCCAAACCCGUGAAAAUCACACGCAUUUCUCACUUGUUUGAAGGUGCCUUCUCCAGCUUACGAUCGGGCUUAAGGAACGGAUCCUGCAAGUUAACAUUCGAAUAAAACACAUCAAACUAAUGGCCUUCUAUUCACAGAUGAGCAAAUAGUUACUUGGUCUAGCAAUGGCGAUUGGGCAUCUCUUUUAAUAACUUUUCUCCUAUCUCAUUAUUAUACAGAGGCCUAAUCAAGUAAGACAGCAUGGUAAUUGUUCUGAAAAUAAGGUGAGACACAUCAUACAUCCAUAACAAGAAAUGUUUUCUACAUUCACAUGACCUAGGAUUAAUUAAGCUCCCAAUUCUGCUCAUUUAAUAGAUAAAAAAAGAGCAUGGUGCAAUAAGCUCCCGCUAUGCACGGGUCCAGGGAAGGACGCAGCAUUACCCUGCAGAAAAUGCAGAGGCUGUUUUGGUGUUUCCACGGCUCGAAGCCAUGGCCUCCUGGUCACAUGGAAACAACUUUAACAAUUACGCCAAGACACAUUUAACAGAUAUGAGCUGAAAUACUCGAACAAGCUCAAACCAAAUCUGAAUUCAACAACAGAUUUAGUUGAGGUGAAAGGAUUCAGAAGAGGCAGAAAAGUAAGAUACGACCAUUAUUUCAUAAGGAGUAAAAUUGAAGGGGUGGGGCAGGUCUUUCAGCGCCUUUGAAAUAGAAUGUAUACAAAAAUGCAUAUAUUGUUCGAUUCCCUUACACUUGUAUAAAGCAAGUGGAAGCAAAAGUAUAUUAAUGGAAUAUACGACUAUGAUUGUCUCUCUCCUUUACCCACUCCCUCUCAUUCAUGGAGUUGGAACCAAAUGCAGAGCAAAGCUAGAUAAUUUGAGUAGCUCAUUUAUAGCCUCAAUCCCAGUCUAUGAAUUAAAAUAAAUUCUAAAUCCAUUCACCUUCCCAGAUACCACUGUUUUCUUCACACUGAAGACAAGCUAUUAACCAGACGAAAAAGCCACCCCCUGUAGAUUUUCUUUUACAGGUUGAAGAGUUUUUAGGGCUCUGCCAGCAGUUCAGCUUAUAUGUAGACUUGGCACACAAUGAACUAUAAAUGAGGUUCACCUCCACACCUUUGUGUUGUUAAGUUACAUAUAUUGGAUAUGGGUGCUUCCCCCAAAGUAAAGUUUAACACACCCAAGCCCUUUUUUUUUCUUGGAGAAAUUGGGGGNNNNNNNNNNNNNNNNNNNNNNNNNNNNNNNNNNNNNNNNNNNNNNNNNNNNNNNNNNNNNNNNNNNNNNNNNNNGGUGAAGUUCUCGGAUCUAUUACAAUAGUUGUGAGAUUACAGUUUUAUGUGAAAUUCGGUCAAACCAAAAUUUAUCUUUUCCCUUGGGUUGAGAUGCAAAUUCUUCAUUUUGAAAUUACCAAAUUGACUAUAUCGAAAAACCCUAAUCUAAUCCCGAUCUAAAAGAAAUAAUGAAAGAGCCUCAACAAUCAUUCCAAAUAACAGAGAGAAGAUUAGCAUGGCCAAUGGGAAAGGAUGACACGACAUACACUAAUCCAGAAAUGGCUUCACAAAGAAUAACUAGAACAAACAGGAGAGGGAAAAAAAAAUUAAAAUAUGGAGAGAGCUGAGCUUACAUUUUGGACGAAGAUAAAAUUGGCGACGACGAUAGCACCGACGACACCACCGAGAAUAGCUGCGGGGCCUGUCAGCAAACUCCACUUCCUGUGUAUCAUCCUUCUUCCGAUAUUCUCUUCUCCUUCAGCUUCUGCUUCUCUCUCUCUCUCUCUAGCCGUAAGAAACUCUUUAAUCCCAAUUCUAAAAGACUCCAAAAUUAGGGAAGCGGAAAAGGUCCAAUAAUACUAUUGGAUAUAACUCAAUUUUGUCUCCGUUAGUAAACUCCGUCACUAAUAUUCCCGCGUGUAAAAAUUACGUGGGAUAGCCACUAUUUAAAGAUAUUUACUUUUUAUUAAUUAUUUUUAAUGUUGAGCAAAAUUAGUCUAUUAAAAUUAAUAGAAAAAGGCAUAGUUACCCUUUCCUUCCGCUUUUGUAUCAGUCCUCUCCUUUCUGGCUUUUGUUAGCUCUCGUUGUGGGAUUUCCUGCAGAUUGGAGAAUUUUAUGUUUCAUAUGCCCAUUUUGUGCCUGAAGACACAACAGGGACAAUAGAGUAGUUACUCUUUGUUAUCACCAUAUGCUAAGUUUAUAAGUUUCACCAUUUUGUGCCUGAAGACACAAUAGGGAAAAUAGAGUAGUUACUCUUUGUUCUCACCAUAUGCAAAGUUUAUAAGUUUCACAUUUAAUUAAUGGACAGAGAUGAAAUAUCAGCCAAAAAAAAAGGAUUAUGAUUUGAAGAUCUGUUCUACCAUUUG